rnacentral:lncRNA from 1 species
UACAGAUAGAUGAUUCACUCUGUUAUUGAUUCCCCGCAUUACAUUACUCCACUAACCCCUAUUCACGUUACUCAUUAGUACUAAAGGACUCAAAAUUCAAUUAUGUAAAUGGGUGCUAAUUAUUGUAAUUGGUAAGAUGGUAAACAUAUUACACAAGAAUUUGAUUCAACGGAAGAAAAUUAAUUAUGUUCUAUUAUCCAACUUACCGGAAUCCCUUUGAAAAAACUUGGAAACCAAUAUAUACAUAUAUACAUAUAGUGUGAGUAUGAUAACGAGCCGAGUCAAGUCAAUUCCAAUCCAACCACAUCUGUUUAAAAAUGAUUCUGC